AAUAUUGCACAAUGGACGGGAGUCUGAUGCAGCAACGCCGCGUGAGGGAUGAAUGNCCNNGGGUUNUNAACCUCUUUUAGCAGNNNNNUAGCGUAAGUGACGUGACCUUCAUAAAAAGCACCGGCUAACUACGUGCCAGCAGCCGCGGUAAUACGUAGGGUGCAAGCGUUGUCCGGAAUUAUUGGGCGGAAAGAGCUCGUAGGCGGUUUGUCGCGUCUGCUGUGAAAUCCUGGGGCUCAACCUCGGGCGUGCAGUGGGUACGGGCAGGCUAGAGUGCGGUAGGGGAGAUUGGAAUUCCUGGUGUAGCGGUGGAAUGCGCAGAUAUCAGGAGGAACACCGAUGGCGAAGGCAGAUCUCUGGGCCGUUACUGACGCUGAGGAGCGAAAGCAUGGGGAGCGAACA
rnacentral:rRNA from 1 species